GUGUUCGGUGGCAGAACAUCUGCUGGACAGGCAGAAGGCCCCAGUUUCAAAUCCUGGCAUAUCCU
rnacentral:tRNA from 1 species